rnacentral:lncRNA from 1 species
CUGACUGCGGCCUGUUCACUUUAUUCUCCUCGUGCCAGGAAGGAAGGGACUUAACUGGGUUGGCCAAGGUGGUCAAUCCUGAUCACCAGGGGGGAAUUGGGCUAUCACCCCAAAGUAGAGGUAAAGAAAAAUAUAUCCGGAAACUUUAGAGCAUCUCUUAGUAUCAUCAUGCCCUAGAUUGGUAGGACUUCUAAAUUUCACAUAAGCCUGGAUGUUAUACACCUCAGUGGUCCAGCAAAUCUAGCAGUAUGUCGUAUGUGUUCGAAUAUGUAGAAAAUGUGUCUGUAAGCCUGAUGCAUGAGAAUAGAGCAGGAUCUGCUAAAAAUACAGCAUCCGGUGCUGCCUCUCCACUUGUAAUAGAGGCCUGGCCAGCAGUGAACAGAAGUUGUCGAUGCAAAAUGAGCCGUGAAAAGCAAAUGAGAGAAAGGAAAAUGACGGUGACCAUAACGUGCAAGUGUUGUGCUAUCUAGGAGAAAAACAGAAGAGAAUAAAAAGAGAUACUAAAAGUAAACUGAGAUAUGAGUGAUAGUCGAAGGAUUCCAACAAGAAAAACAGAAGUCCCUCUCCCAGUAUUUUCAAACACCCAGUAAUAAUUCCAAAGUCUUUAAGUUACUAUUUCUUCUAAUUUUUCACUAUGAGCUUUUAAAUAUUAUAAUUACGCAAUCAACCCUUUGUUAAUCAAAUUUAUUCUCUAUUCUUUCUUUUUAUUAAAGAUGGGUAUGUAGGAUUCUUACACCUCUAUCCCCAAUUUCACUUCUCACUUGUUCAUAUUAUAGGUGAAGCAUAAAUCUUUUAUAAUAAUCAAUAUUCCAACUCCGCAUAUUUAUGUCUACCAAUAUUGUCCACUGUCGAAUUUUUCCAGUGUAGCUCUGACUUUAACAACUGUCACACUUAUGGUUUGCUUACUUUCGUAGGUAUUUAUUACUAGUUGUUUCCACACUAUAUAUAAUCACCAUUAAACCUAUUUUGAUUCAUUUUAUUGAAGGUGUUGUUGAAUUUUGUCUUCUGGUGCUUUCUGUUCACCACUUCUGUAUAAUAACCCUAGAAAUUCUUAGAUUCUUGGUGCUUGCUAUUUAUAUUCAUUUCCACCCCCCAUCACAUGUUCAUACUUUUUGUUUGUUCUAUUAUUUUUAGUAAAUUGUAUCCUUAUGUUGCCUCUUUACAAAUGCUGCACAUAUGAAUUGAGAGCAUGUAAGGUUACGAAAGUCUUUUUUCUACCUACAAACUCGAUGGGGGCUUUUGGUGUUUCACUUGCUCGCUCUUUUUGUGGAUGCCCAUUGUCACACUGAGGAAGCUUCCUUACAUUUCUAGCCCAUGAUCAAUUUUAUUAUGAAGAGAUAGUAAUUUUAUCAAAUUAUUAUUCUGUAUAUACAUAGAUAAUCAAAUGUUUCUGUUUUUCCUGUUG